UACAGAGGGGGCAAGCGUUGUCCGGAAUUACUGGGCGUAAAGCGCACGUAGGCGGAUUGCUAAGUCAGGGGUGAAAUCCUGGAGCUCAACUCCAGAACUGCCUUUGAUACUGGCGACCUUGAGUCCGGGAGAGGUGAGUGGAACUGCGAGUGUAGAGGUGAAAUUCGUAGAUAUUCGCAAGAACACCAGUGGCGAAGGCGGCUCACUGGCCCGGUACUGACGCUGAGGUGCGAAAGCGUGGGGAGCAAACAGG
rnacentral:rRNA from 1 species